GGGGAAUAUUGCACAAUGGGCGAAAGCCUGAUGCAGCAACGCCGCGUGAGUGAUGAAGGUCUUCGGAUUGUAAAGCUCUGUCUUUUGGGACGAUAAUGACGGUACCAAAGGAGGAAGCCACGGCUAACUACGUGCCAGCAGCCGCGGUAAUACGUAGGUGGCGAGCGUUGUCCGGAUUUACUGGGCGUAAAGGGUGCGUAGGCGGAUGUUUAAGUGAGAUGUGAAAUACCCGGGCUUAACUUGGGUGCUGCAUUUCAAACUGGAUAUCUAGAGUGCAGGAGAGGAGAAUGGAAUUCCUAGUGUAGCGGUGAAAUGCGUAGAGAUUAGGAAGAACACCAGUGGCGAAGGCGAUUCUCUGGACUGUAACUGACGCUGAGGCACGAAAGCGUGGGUAGCAAACAGGAUUAGAUACCCUGGUAGUCCACGCCGUAAACGAUGAGUACUAGGUGUAGGAGGUAUCGACCCCUUCUGUGCCGCAGUAAACACAUUAAGUACUCCGCCUGGGAAGUACGAUCGCAAGAUUAAAACUCUAAAGUGAAUUGCGGGGUCAUA
rnacentral:rRNA from 1 species